UGCAGUCGAGCGGACAGAAGGGAGCUUGCUCCCGGAUGUUAGCGGCGGACGGGUGAGUAACACGUGGGUAACCUGCCUGUAAGACUGGGAUAACUCCGGGAAACCGGAGCUAAUACCGGAUAGUUCCUUGAACCGCAUGGUUCAAGGAUGAAAGACGGUUUCGGCUGUCACUUACAGAUGGACCCGCGGCGCAUUAGCUAGUUGGUGAGGUAACGGCUCACCAAGGCGACGAUGCGUAGCCGACCUGAGAGGGUGAUCGGCCACACUGGGACUGAGACACGGCCCAGACUCCUACGGGAGGCAGCAGUAGGGAAUCUUCCGCAAUGGACGAAAGUCUGACGGAGCAACGCCGCGUGAGUGAUGAAGGUUUUCGGAUCGUAAAGCUCUGUUGUUAGGGAAGAACAAGUGCAAGAGUAACUGCUUGCACCUUGACGGUACCUAACCAGAAAGCCACGGCUAACUACGUGCCAGCAGCCGCGGUAAUACGUAGGUGGCAAGCGUUGUCCGGAAUUAUUGGGCGUAAAGGGCUCGCAGGCGGUUUCUUAAGUCUGAUGUGAAAGCCCCCGGCUCAACCGGGGAGGGUCAUUGGAAACUGGGAAACUUGAGUGCAGAAGAGGAGAGUGGAAUUCCACGUGUAGCGGUGAAAUGCGUAGAGAUGUGGAGGAACACCAGUGGCGAAGGCGACUCUCUGGUCUGUAACUGACGCUGAGGAGCGAAAGCGUGGGGAGCGAACAGGAUUAGAUACCCUGGUAGUCCACGCCGUAAACGAUGAGUGCUAAGUGUUAGGGGGUUUCCGCCCCUUAGUGCUGCAGCUAACGCAUUAAGCACUCCGCCUGGGGAGUACGGUCGCAAGACUGAAACUCAAAGGAAUUGACGGGGGCCCGCACAAGCGGUGGAGCAUGUGGUUUAAUUCGAAGCAACGCGAAGAACCUUACCAGGUCUUGACAUCCUCUGACAACCCUAGAGAUAGGGCUUUCCCUUCGGGACAGAGUGACAGUGGUGCAGGGUGUCGUCAGCUCGUGUCGUGAGAUGUUGGGUAAGUCCCGCACGAGCGCACCCUUGAUCUAGUGCCAGCAUUUAGUGGGCCCUCUAAGGGACUGCCGGGGAAAACCGGAGGAGGGGGGGAAGAAGUCAAUUCAUCUGGCCCUUA
rnacentral:rRNA from 1 species